UUUGCUGAGUAACAAAAACUCAAUGACACAAAAAUAACCUCGGUCGAAGGAGAAAAAGAGUACAACACACCCUUCACGUUUCGAGAUUAAAUGUGUAGACAUCUCUUCCUGAUGUCUGCAUCUUCCUCUGAUGACAAUGGUCAUGGGAGUUCAGAACUUCUGUAAACGAUGCUACUAACAUGUUUCUCAAAAGUGGAAUUAGGCAGUGACUUAGUGAACAAGUCUGCCACACUGUCCUCAAAUCGAAGCUAGUUCAUUUUGAUCUUGAGGAGAGUCUGUUGUUGCUGAUGAUGCUUGGUGUUGCCGCUUUUGAUGUAACCUUGCUUCAUUUAUUUAAUGCAAGCAGCAUUAUCCUCAUAAAUGCUCGUAGGCUCAUUUGUUGUAGACUUUAAACCAUAAUUGCUUUAAGGAGGGUAGAAUGUAGUAGUACCCCGAAAAUUCGUUAUUAUUUUUCGAGGAUUUUCCAGAAUUUAAUUAGUGGUUAUCGGAUGGUUUCGUGGCUCGUGGAUGGAGUGGAAGUGUUUCGGGCGAAUAAUUAUUCAAGAAGCGUCAUUUUAGGGGGGGGGGGGCGCAAGGGUUGACUUUUUAUUCGUUGGGUUUCUCUGAAAACUUUCUUCAAGAAAGUCGUAGAGCGCGUCGAUACGAGUUUGUGGACAUGUGGAACGCGGAUAUCGGAGUUCAUAUGGAGAAGUUAUGGCCAUUGGAAAAAGUUUCCAUUUUGGUAUAUAUGGGAAAUUUCCAGAAAAAAUAUCAGAAAAAUCAGAGUUUCCAUUUUCGGAAAGUUUUCUCUCUCUUCUCUCCCGAGCCCAAGUCGCUCUCUCCACUUCGGCGAUUUCUCCCUCGUCCGGCCACCAUAGGACGUGAAACCAAGUGGGCUUUCUUCGCCUUAAUCUCCUCUACAAGUCUGUGGAAGCCAUCGAGUGUGGGUCGAGCUGUGUUGGGCGCUGCAAGGCCGAGAAGAGGCCGUGACGGAGCUGCAAUCGCUUUCGUCGGAACUGGAGAUUUCGGGCAUCUUUGCCGGUGAUUCUUGAGGGCUUUUGAAGCCCAGAAGACGUAGAAGCUUUCUCCUAAGGUGGCUUGCAACGAUUCAACUUGUGGAGAUCGAAUUUUGGAAUUUGAGAUUCUAGAGUUCAUCGAAAUUCAAAGCUUUCGAGGUACUUGACAGGCUUGUGUUGAGCGGAUUGCGGCGAUUUGUGCUUGUCUUGGUUAGUGUGUGAAGACGCAGCGGGAUUCAGAGUUGGAUGAUUGCUAUCUGUGUGAUGUGUGAUGAUCAGUUGGACGAUUGCUAUCUGUGUGAUGACCGGUGAAAUCUGUGUGAUGAUCAGUUGGACGAUUGCUAUCUGUGUGAUGACCGGUGAAAUCUGUGUGAUGAUCAGUAGGAUGAUGGCUAUCUGUGUGAUGACCGGUGAACUCUGUGUGAUGACUGCUCGGUAGCGAAGUUGAAUUGUUAUUAAGUUAACAAAGAUCGAGAGGUCUGCUGUGAUGGUCGGAGCUACCUACGGAUGUCAGAGUGUGAGGUUAUGAUGAUUACUAUGACUUGAAUUGUUUGUCUUAAUGUGACAUCCUGAACUAAAACUGUACGCAGGGAUUACUAUGAACUGCUGUGCUUGUUUUGAAUUGUGAUUGCCUUGUUUUCUUCUUGAUUUUAUUGAUUUAUGGUUUGAUUGAUCUUAAAGGCCAUAGUGGUUACGAUUGUGCUCUGUGUGAGGAUAGGAAGGUGAUUCAUUGUUUUCACCAUUGAUGUCAUGUUGAUGACAAAGGCUUCGGGUGGGAAGGAAAUGAGUGUGAUCUUUGUGACUCACCGUUGUGCGUCAAAAGAUAUGAAGGUGAUUCAUUCUUUUCACCUUUGAUGUCAUGUUGAUGACAAAGGCUUCCGGUGGGAAGGAAAUGAGUGUGAUCUUUGUGACUCGCCGUUGUGCGUCAAAGGAUUUCCAAACAUUACUUGAGGAGGUUUUGUUUGAUUGGAAUUUGUGUAAUUAGAUGCUAGGUUGAGAAUCUGAGCAUGCAGUUUUAGUCACGAGUUGACCUACAUAAGCAUGUUAUGGAAGGUUAUGAAACAGAUGGCUGUAGUUGUGAGUUAUGUGCUUAUCGUUGUUAGGUUGAGGUGACUUAAGAAUGUGUUUCUGCUUUGUGGUUUUGAGUUUACUCAUACGAGUUUUCAUAAGCUUAUCGGGUUUGUUGUGUGGCAACCCGGUGCACUAUUCAAUGGUAUAGGGGUUAAUCCUGCAUGUCAGGACAAUCGUGGUGGAAGCUGAGAUCGCGUGCUUACAGCUAUACGGUAGGAAGCCAAUUUUGUGACUUUACUGUUGGAAAGACUUCCGUUGUAGUAGCUAUGAGGAGCAUUUACGUUUUAUUUUAUUGUGACAAUUUAAUUCGUAAGCAUAUGUAAUAUAUGACUCUGUGGAGCGGGUCUGUAUUGACAUAGUAGGUU